UUUUUUUUUUUUUUUUUUUUUUUUCCACACCACCAACAUAUUCAUCAGGAUUUAUUGGAAUCACCAAUUCUACAAUGCAACAUACAUACAUACAUACAUACAUACAUAGAAUGCCUAUACAGUAGUUGGCCAAAAUCCUGUCAAACUUUCAUCACCUGUUCUUACUUUUCAUCCUGGACUAGAAGCAUGAUGCAGGCUGAUGUUCAAAUCCUGUAUGAAAGCCAAGGCUUUAGAUUCCAAAGGCAAAUGGCUCUUGUUCUUCUGGGUAAUGGUCAUUUAAUUCCUUACAAACUGGAAGAAGGCAGGCAAUGAUGAGGCAGAGCAGACCCAUCAAGGGGUGGAUCCGUCAUUUUACAUUCUUGAACAUGAGAAUGUUAAUUUUAUCAAUACUGAUAUCAGAUAUGGGUUCAAUGGGCUGAUCAUCUCCCUCAGUCAAAGGAACAGACUCAGCAGGCUCCCUGCUGAAUUCAUCAAAAAUUGUACUCAAGGAAGUUGGGGGAGGGGUUGACAAGAAGUUGAGGCCAAGGUAAAAUGCAAGUGCUAGUACUACUGUAACCAUAGCAUAAGUUGGGAUGGCCAAUGCCCAGUACCUGUUGGGAUAGUAAAAGACCCCAAUUGAGUGCAAACAAGGUUCAGGAACGUAUGCCCAUACCAAGAAAAUAACUGUAGCAACAAUAGUUGUAAUGGACCCAACAAAACCAUAAACUUCCGAAGUUUUUAGUCCAUGCUCCCCAGACACUCCGAAGCCAGCAGCCUUGUCAUUGGGGUCUUGAAAGUAUACAGUUGCCCUCCUUCUCUUUGAAAAACUAAGGAUUCUUCUAGGACUACUAACAGAAUAGUGAUCUUCCAUGCUGGCUCCUUCAAAACAUUCUGGUGUUUCACUAUACUCACAAAUUCUCACUUAAUGAGAAUAAAAUUCUUAGAAUCUCGCUGCAAAGGAACAAAGAAAGCGGUUUGAAGCUGCUGUUACCCUAAAGAUCGGACAGAGAGAGGAUCUGAGACUGAUGAGAGGGAUAUGGCGAGAGACCUGAGGCUGAGAGAAAGGAAGAGAGAGCGAACCGAGAAGGAUGACGUGAG
rnacentral:misc_RNA from 1 species